rnacentral:rRNA from 1 species
UGCAGUCGAGCGGAGAGAGAAGCUUGCUUCUCUGUGAGAGCGGCGGACGGGUGAGUAAUGCCUAGGAAUCUGCCUGGUAGUGGGGGAUAACGUUCGGAAACGGACGCUAAUACCGCAUACGUCCUACGGGAGAAAGCAGGGGACCUUCGGGCCUUGCGCUAUCAGAUGAGCCUAGGUCGGAUUAGCUAGUUGGUGAGGUAAUGGCUCACCAAGGCGACGAUCCGUAACUGGUCUGAGAGGAUGAUCAGUCACACUGUAACUGAGACACGGUCCAGACUCCUACGGGAGGCAGCAGUGGGGAAUAUUGGACAAUGGGCGAAAGCCUGAUCCAGCCAUGCCGCGUGUGUGAAGAAGGUCUUCGGAUUGUAAAGCACUUUAAGUUGGGAGGAAGGGUUGUAGAUUAAUACUCUGCAAUUUUGACGUUACCGACAGAAUAAGCACCGGCUAACUCUGUGCCAGCAGCCGCGGUAAUACAGAGGGUGCAAGCGUUAAUCGGAAUUACUGGGCGUAAAGCGCGCGUAGGUGGUUUGUUAAGUUGGAUGUGAAAUCCCCGGGCUCAACCUGGGAACUGCAUUCAAACUGACUGACUAGAGUAUGGUAGAGGGUGGUGGAAUUUCCUGUGUAGCGGUGAAAUGCGUAGAUAUAGGAAGGAACACCAGUGGCGAAGGCGACCACCUGGACUAAUACUGACACUGAGGUGCGAAACGUGGGGAGCAACAAGAUUAGAUACCCGGUAGUCCCGCCGUANNGAUGUCACUAGCCUUGGAGCCUUGAGCUUUAGUGGCGCAGCUAAGCUUAAUUGACCGCCGGGGAGUACGCCGCAGGNUAAACUCAAUG